GCUAGGUUGCACCAAAUCAGGACUAGCUAGCCCUUUCCUCUUCCCUCCCCCCCUGCUUCCUCGCCCCACUGUCACCCAGCUACAUGCCUGUUCCCCAUCUGUCAUAUCUCCUCCCUCUCCGCUACCUGUCCCCACUAAACUCUGCUCAGUGAGCAGUAGACUCCUCUCAAGAUUGUCAAUCUCCCUCAAUGUUGCAAUUUGCUUCUCGAGAUCUCCAAUCUGAGCUUCCAGAGAAGCCACUCGCACACAACCAUCACAGAGGUAUGGACCCUGGACGGGUACAUCCAGGCAGCCAUACAUGCAACAAGAUGUGCAUUGAGUUAAACCAGCAAUCUUGCUAACACUCAUAUCCCCUUUAAACACAAAAAAACAUUUACCUUGAUAGUUUAAACCCCUUGUUAGUUUGAACUCCUGGUUUUCUAACUCCUACUUGAAAGAGUCUACUUAACAGAGGCUGCUUUCAAGUAAUGUGAGC
rnacentral:lncRNA from 1 species